CUGCGCUCAGGCCCACUUUCUAGCGAAGUCUAAUGGCCUGCUCACGCCUGCUGCGUUGGAAUGAGCUAGCACUGCUGCCCGCUGCUUUAAAGAACAAAGCUGAGCAAGAUGUUCCAGGGAAGGAUCCAGAGCAAUCUGUGUCACCUCGUGACGCGGGCAAGACAGGAGGACUUCAAAAUGGAGAAGGUGCUCUUCCCUUCCCCCGUUAAAUUAAAAGUGUUGUGGCAAUAAAAGACAUCAAGGCUGGA